rnacentral:miRNA from 1 species
CUCAAGUUCCCUCUCCUGAGAA